AGAGACAAGCUGCUACGCACAGAAACCAGCACGUGCGUGCUAGUCUGCGGCUGUAAUUUACGUGUGAGACACACCGGAGGGCUGCGGCGGGGGUCAGGGAGAGGAGGCAGCAGGCAGACGAGACCCAGCACGGUCACGAGCCGCAGAUACGCAGCUGCUGCAUUUCCACCCAGAAACAGCGGCUGCUUGCGUUAGAUGGGUGGAGAGCUAUCUUCGUAAUGUUGACCCAGGAAAAAAUGAAUAAGCUUGACCUCCGUGCCUUUGCAGCCGCAUCACUGGGAGUUUUCAUGCAAGAUGCCUCCAGUUCCUCUGCUCAAAGGUCUGAGUGUCUCCUGCGAGAGGCGUGGUAACCUGAGGCCCUUCUAGAAGGAGGGUCAGUGGGCUGCUUCCGGUCCCCCGCUGUCCUGCCCCACUGUGCGUCUCACAGCGUUGUCUGCUCUAGCGGCCGGCUGGGACCUCCUCCCCUUUCCUACUGCUCUGUUGAACAUCAUCUGGGACUUCAGUUCAAGGGUUUGUUUGUUUUCACGCUGUACUCCUGCUUCCUCCAAGGAGCAUCUGUGGUCCAUGGAGAAGCUUCAGUUUACCACUGUUCUUAUGAGUUCACAGCCAACCUCGAAACAACCGGAGAAGGACUUUUCGGAACUUUGUCAGGGGCCUGCUUUUCUGUCAUCUCCUGCCUCAUCUGAGCGGUCCAGAGACCUCCAAGCAAAGCCAUGGUGACUGCUCCCCCAUUGCGCAGGACUCCGUUCGGUUUCAGAGGCAGAUGUCUGGAGAGCAAAGACACAGAGUUGUUGUCAGCGGCCCCAGAGGCGGGCGUCAGCGAGCGUUGUCUCAGCAGAA
rnacentral:lncRNA from 1 species